AUUGAACGCUGGCGGCAGGCCUAACACAUGCAAGUCGAACGAGUGGCGGACGGGUGAGUACUGUCUGGGAAACUGCCCGAUGGAGGGGGAUAACUACUGGAAACGGUAGCUAAUACCGCAUACCAUCGGAUGUGCCCAGAUGGGAUUCGCUAGUAGGUGGGGUAACGGCUCACCUAGGCGACGAUCCCUCGCUGGGCUGAGAGGAUGACCAGCCACAUGGGAACGGAGACACGGUCCAGACUCCGACGGGAGGCAGCAGUGGGGAAUAGUGCACAAUGGGCGCAAGCCUGAUGCAGCCAUGCCGCGUGUAUGAAGAAGGCCUUCGGGUUGUAAAGUACUGUCAGCGAGGAGGCGUUACUCGCAGAAGAAGCACCGGCUAACUCCGUGCCAGCAGCCGCGGUAAUAC
rnacentral:rRNA from 1 species